rnacentral:tRNA from 1 species
GGUGACGUACCCAAGCGGUCUAAGGGAGCAGUUUGCAAAACUGUUAUUUCGUGGGUUCGAAUCCCACCGUCACCUCCA